AUGGAGGGCAAUCUGUCUUUAAAUAGGAGUAAAUUACUCUUUUUAAAAAAUCCUAGUUUUCCUUUUAAGUCAAGUGUCUUGU
rnacentral:pre_miRNA from 1 species